GUUAAGCGACUAAGCGUACACGGUGGAUGCCCUGGCAGUCAGAGGCGAUGAAGGACGUGCUAAUCUGCGAUAAGCGUCGGUGAGGUGAUAUGAACCGUUAUAACCGGCGAUUUCCGAAUGGGGAAACCCAGUGUGUUUCGACACACUAUCAUUAACUGAAUCCAUAGGUUAAUGAGGCGAACCGGGGGAACUGAAACAUCUAAGUACCCCGAGGAAAAGAAAUCAACCGAGAUUCCCCCAGUAGCGGCGAGCGAACGGGGAGGAGCCCAGAGCCUGAAUCAGUGUGUGUGUUAGUGGAAGCGUCUGGAAAGGCGCGCGAUACAGGGUGACAGCCCCGUACACAAAAAUGCACAUA
rnacentral:rRNA from 1 species